GAUGAACGCUGGCGGCGUGCUUAACACAUGCAAGUCGAACGAUGAAGCCCAGCUUGCUGGGUGGAUUAGUGGCGAACGGGUGAGUAACACGUGAGUAACCUGCCCUUGACUCUGGGAUAAGCCUGGGAAACUGGGUCUAAUACUGGAUAUGACUUCUCAUCGCAUGGUGGGGGGUGGAAAGAUUUAUUGGUCUUGGAUGGACUCGCGGCCUAUCAGCUUGUUGGUGAGGUAAUGGCUCACCAAGGCGACGACGGGUAGCCGGCCUGAGAGGGUGACCGGCACAAGUGGGACGGAGCACGGGCCCAGCCCCCUGGGGGGGGAAGGCGGGGGGAAUUUUGCAAAAGGGGCCCAAGCCUGGUGCAGGGGCCCCGGGGGGGGGAGGGCGGCCUUGGGGUUUUAAACCCUUUUCAGGAGGAAAGAAGCGAGGGGGCCGGUACCUGGAGAAGAAGCCGCGGCUAACUACGU
rnacentral:rRNA from 1 species